GACGAACGCUGGCGGCGUGCUUAACACAUGCAAGUCGAGCGGUAAGGCCCCUUCGGGGGUACACGAGCGGCGAACGGGUGAGUAACACGUGGGUGACCUGCCCUCAGCUCUGGGAUAAGCCUGGGAAACUGGGUCUAAUACCGGAUAUGACUCCAUGAUGCAUGUUGUGGGGUGGAAAGCCUUGUGCGGCUGAGGAUGGGCCCGCGGCCUAUCAGCUUGUUGGUGGGGGNGA
rnacentral:rRNA from 1 species